UAUCUAAAAAUAUCUAUGGACCUCUAUCGGGUUAUGUCUUCCUCUUCUAAGAACCUAUGUUGACUCUGAUAAAAUGAUCUGAAAUUGCUUUGAUAUUUGUGCCGUAUAUCAAAUCCAUGUCAGAUCUGUCUAGUAUCUUUGAAAUCUACUAUUGAUUAACUCUAUUGAUCGAUCUUGAUCUUGAUCCAAUCCAUAUUUCAUAAUUUAUUGAUCAGAGUUGCUU
rnacentral:lncRNA from 1 species